CUGCGAUAAGCGCCGGUAAGGUGAUAUGAACCGUUAUAACCGGCGAUACCCGAAUGGGGAAACCCAGUGUGACUCGUCACACUAUCAUUAACUGAAUCCAUAGGUUAAUGAGGCGAACCGGGGGAACUGAAACAUCUAAGUACCCCGAGGAAAAGAAAUCAACCGAGAUUCCCCCAGUAGCGGCGAGCGAACGGGGAGGAGCCCAGAGCCUGAAUCAGCAUGUGUGUUAGUGGAAGCGUCUGGAAAGGCGCGCGAUACAGGGUGACAGCCCCGUACACAAAAGCGCAUGUGCUGUGAGCUCGAUGAGUAGGGCGGGACACGUGGUAUCCUGUCUGAAUAUGGGGGGACCAUCCUCCAAGGCUAAAUACUCCUGACUGACCGAUAGUGAACCAGUACCGUGAGGGAAAGGCGAAAAGAACCCCGGCGAGGGGAGUGAAAAAGAACCUGAAACCGUGUACGUACAAGCAGUGGGAGCACCCUUUGGGUGUGACUGCGUACCUUUUGUAUAAUGGGUCAGCGACUUAUAUUCUGUAGCAAGGUUAACCGAAUAGGGGAGCCGGAGGGAAACCGAGUCUUAACCGGGCGUUAAGUUGCAGGGUAUAGACCCGAAACCCGGUGAUCUAGCCAUGGGCAGGUUGAAGGUUGGGUAACACUAACUGGAGGACCGAACCGACUAAUGUUGAAAAAUUAGCGGAUGACCUGUGGCUGGGGGUGAAAGGCCAAUCAAACCGGGAGAUAGCUGGUUCUCCCCGAAAGCUAUUUAGGUAGCGCCUCGUGAAUUCAUCUCCGGGGGUAGAGCACUGUUUCGGCUAGGGGGCCAUCCCGGCUUACCAACCCGAUGCAAACUGCGAAUACCGGAGAAUGUUAUCACGGGAGACACACGGCGGGUGCUAACGUCCGUCGUGAAGAGGGAAACAACCCAGACCGCCAGCUAAGGUCCCAAAGUCAUGGUUAAGUGGGAAACGAUGUGGGAAGGCCCAGACAGCCAGGAUGUUGGCUUAGAAGCAGCCAUCAUUUAAAGAAAGCGUAAUAGCUCACUGGUCGAGUCGGCCUGCGCGGAAGAUGUAACGGGGCUAAACCAUGCACCGAA
rnacentral:rRNA from 1 species